rnacentral:rRNA from 1 species
UACGAAGGGGGCUAGCGUUGCUCGGAAUUACUGGGCGUAAAGCGUGCGCAGGCGGUUUUGUAAGUCUGUCGUGAAAUCCCCGGGCUCAACCUGGGAAUUGCGAUGGAGACUGCAAGGCUAGAAUCUGGCAGAGGGGGGUAGAAUUCCACGUGUAGCAGUGAAAUGCGUAGAGAUGUGGAGGAACACCGAUGGCGAAGGCAGCCCCCUGGGUCAAGAUUGACGCUCAUGCACGAAAGGCGUGGGGAGCAAACGAGG